GCUACGGCAGUACUGACAGAGGAGCCCGCGGCGCAUUAGCUAGUUGGUGGGGUAACGGCUCACCAAGGCGACGAUGCGUAGCCGACCUGAGAGGGUGACCGGCCACACUGGGACUGAGACACGGCCCAGACUCCUACGGGAGGCAGCAGUAGGGAAUCUUCCGCAAUGGGCGCAAGCCUGACGGAGCAACGCCGCGUGAGCGAAGAAGGCCUUCGGGUUGUAAAGCUCAGUCAUUCGGGAAGAGCGGACGGGAGAGGGAAUGCUCCUGUCGAGACGGUACCGGAAGAGGAAGCCCCGGCUAACUACGUG
rnacentral:rRNA from 1 species